GUAGGGAAUAUUGCGCAAUGGGGGAAACCCUGACGCAGCGACGCCGCGUGAGUGAUGAAGGCCUUCGGGUCGUAAAGCUCUGUUGCAGGGGAAUAAAUAAAUGAAGGUACCCUGUGAGGAAGGAUCGGCUAACUUCGUGCAAGCAGCCGCGGUAAGACGAGGGAUCCUAGCGUUGCUCGGAAUCAUUGGGCGUAAAGAGGGUGUAGGUGGCUUGGUAAGUCAGGUGUGAAAGCCCAGGGCUCAACCAUGGAAGUGCAUUUGGUACUGCUGAGCUUGAGUGUCGGAGAGGUUACCGGAAUACCUGGUGUAGUGGUGAAAUACGUAGAUAUCAGGUGGAACACCGGAGGCGAAGGCGGGUAACUGGACGAACACUGACACUGAGGCCCGAAAGCGUGGGGAUCAAACAGGAUUAGAAACCCGAGUAGUCC
rnacentral:rRNA from 1 species